GUUCCUGUACCUUUAAGGCUCCUGACCGUGUGUGAAUCCAGCCACAUUUGUUUCGGCACCAACCAUGCAAUCCUGACGUCAGGACUUGCAGAGUCUCCUAGUUAGAGGCUGACGUGAGCGAUCAGAGAGAGAGAGAGAGAGAAAGAGAGAUAGAGCGCUUGAACAUGGCCACUGUAACCAACGGAGUGCAGCUAGACAACAGCAGCAGCGGCAGCAGCCGGAUGAACGGCUUAAGCCACGGCAGUCAAAACACCAUCCCAAUGAAAGACCACGACGCCAUCAAGCUGUUCAUCGGCCAGAUCCCCCGCAAUCUGGAGGAGAAAGACCUAAAGCCGCUGUUCGAGGAAUUUGGGAAGAUCUAUGAACUGACUGUGCUGAAGGAUCGUUUCACCGGUAUGCACAAAGGUUGUGCCUUCCUCACAUACUGUGCCAGAGAUUCAGCUCUUAAAGCUCAGAGUGCUUUGCACGAGCAGAAAACAUUACCAGGGAUGAACCGCCCAAUUCAGGUGAAGCCUGCAGACAGCGAAGGCCGAGGAGAAGAUAGAAAGCUCUUUGUGGGCAUGCUGGGAAAACAGCAAACAGAGGAUGACGUCAGGAGACUAUUUGAAUCCUUUGGCUCCAUUGAAGAGUGUACCAUUCUUAGAGGACCUGAUGGAACCAGCAAAGGCUGUGCAUUUGUAAAAUAUUCUUCUCAUGCUGAAGCCCAAGCAGCUAUUAACAGCCUGCACGGAAGCCAGACUAUGCCAGGGGCAUCGUCCAGCCUGGUGGUAAAAUUUGCAGACACAGAUAAGGAACGCACUCUGCGACGCAUGCACCAGAUGGCAGGGCAGCUUGGCAUCUUUAAUCCGAUGGCAAUCCAGUUUGGCGCAUAUGGAGCGUACACUCAAGCGUUGAUGCAGCAACAAGCGGCUCUAAUGGCGGCAGCGCAGGGCACCUACUUGAAUCCGAUGGCUGCUAUUGCGGCGGCUCAGAUGCAGCAGAUGGCAGCUUUCAAUGUGAAUGGGCUGGUUGCAACGCCAAUGACACCGUCAUCAGGCACCAGUACCCCUCCUGGCAUCAAUGCAGCAGCUGUACCCAGCAUAGCUACCCCCAUUGGAGUCAAUGGGUUUAGCGCCAUGCCACCACAGACUAAUGGGCAACCAGCAUCUGAUACUAUUUAUGCCAAUGGCAUUCACCCGUAUCCAGCACAAAGUCCAACAGUGGCCGAUCCCUUACAGCAAGCUUACGCAGGCAUGCAACACUAUACAGGUUCUCCUGCUCCAUGCUCCAUUCCCCAAUUAAGAGUGCAGCCAGCGGCCUAUCCAGCAGCUUAUGCUCCCAUUAGUCAGGCGUUUCCACAGCAACCUCCCAUAAUUCCUCAGCAGCAAAGAGAAGGGCCAGAGGGAUGCAAUCUGUUCAUCUACCAUCUGCCACAGGAGUUCGGGGAUGCUGAGCUCAUGCAGAUGUUCAUGCCUUUUGGCAAUGUGAUCUCUGCCAAAGUCUUUGUUGACCGUGCCACCAACCAAAGUAAAUGCUUCGGGUUUGUGAGUUUUGACAAUCCUACCAGUGCUCAGGCUGCCAUUCAGGCAAUGAACGGCUUUCAGAUUGGGAUGAAGAGGCUAAAAGUACAACUGAAACGACCAAAAGACGCUAACCGACCAUACUGACCUUCCCACCGCUCCUAAACAGGCAGGGCCUAAUCAUAGCUCCAGAUGACCACAAGUCAUUCUCAAACUCUGUGAUGUAACCUAGCGACUCUAACAGUCAUGGGGGAGACAUUUCCCAACCCGAUGGAAGCAUCACCGCAUUCAGUGAUUCUUUGUCACAAGUACAGUCUGAAAACUAUGACUCUUUUAUUUUGCUCUGUAUCACUGUGGAAGACAACAGAUUAGAUUUCAAAGGGGGAGACACUUCAGGAGCGACUGGGGGGGGUGGGGGGGAACCAAAAAGGAAGAAAGUUGGAUGGAAACAAAAAAAAAACAAAAACACAAAAAAAAUGAUGACAAAAAAUAUCAUAUUCGCACUGGAACUGUGAUGAGGACGUUGUGACACACCAUGACUGAAUUAAUCCACAAGUACUGAAUAACUGUUUUUCAGAGGAUUAAAUGGUAAAUACUGACUUUUAAGAAAAAAAACCAAAGCCAGCUGGAAAAGUUUGUGUGCCUACAGCCAACAUGACACAUCCUUGCUUCUGAAACAGGAAGAA